CAGCCGCCGCGGGAAUACGUAGGUGGCAAGCGUUGUCCGGAAUUAUUGGGCGUAAAGGGCUCGCAGGCGGUUUCUUAAGUCUGAUGUGAAAGCCCCCGGCCCAACCGGGGAGGGUCAUUGGAAACUGGGAAACUUGAGUGCAGAAGAGGAGAGUGGAAUUCCACGUGUAGCGGUGGAAUGCGUAGAGAUGUGGAGGAACACCAGUGGCGAAGGCGACUCUCUGGUCUGUAACUGACGCUGAGGAGCGAAAGCGUGGGGAGCGAACAGGAUUAGAUACCCGCGUAGUCCCUGUCUCUUAUAA
rnacentral:rRNA from 1 species